rnacentral:rRNA from 1 species
AUACGGAGGAUGCAAGCGUUAUCCGGAUUUAUUGGGUUUAAAGGGUGCGUAGGCUGAGGAGUAAGUCAGGGGUGAAAUGCCGCAGCUCAACUGCGGAACUGCCUUUGAUACUGCUUUUCUGGAGUCCGGAUGCCGUGGGAGGAAUGGGCAGUGUAGCGGUGAAAUGCAUAGAUAUUGCCCAGAACACCGAUUGCGAAGGCAUCUCACGAAUCCGGCACUGACGCUGAGGCACGAAAGCGUGGGGAUCAAACAGGAUUAGAUACCCUGGUAGUCCACGCAGUAAACGAUGAUAACUAACCGUCGGCGAUAGACAGUCGGUGGCCAAGCGAAAGCGAUAAGUUAUCCACCUGGGGAGUACGUUCGCAAGAAUGAAACUCAAAGGAAUUGACGGGG